UUUUUGUAUGUUUGGGUUGGCUAGGCAAACGGUCAAUGUUCGAUUUUUGUCCGCCGAACCAUAGAUUAGCCCAACGCGGACGACAGAUUUCAGAAUUAUAAAAAACUAGAGCCAAGAAAAAAAAUAAUGAAAUAGCCACCAGAAGUCCAGUUUACAUAAAUUAAAAUGAAAACAUAAAAAAAAUGAAAAUGAAAACAGGCACACGGUGGAUGCAGGCAGUGGCGGCGGCGUCAUCCUUCUCGGUCAAGUCGACGUACACCGGCGCAUCCAUCCACGAAGGCUGCUAGCGCCGCGCUGCACCUGUCGCCGCCUGCUGGACCGGUUGAGUGGUGUGUACAUGUGUGUCGUCUGCUGCUUGGCUACCAACGACGCGUGUCUCGGCCUCCUACAGGUGUCGUUGCUUCUCCUCUUCGUCACGCCUAGCGGAACAGGCGUGCCCAUGAAAUUGAACGCCGCAACUCCUCGAGCACAUGCGAUGCUUGCGGGUAAACCUGGGCAAACGUCGGGCCGGGCUUGUAAAAGCCCGACCUUCAUUUCUCAAGCCCGAGCCCGGCCCGAAGCCCGAAAUACUCCCUGAAAUCAAGCCCGAGCCCGGCCCGAAAUCAAGCCCGAAGCCCGAAAGCCCGGCCCGAACGCUGUUUUUUAGUACGUGUACGUGCAAGCCCGGCCCGAAGCCCGAAAGCCCGGCCCGAAAAAUAGAAAAAGACAAGCCCGAGCCCGGCCCGAACUACCUUUCGGGCUGCAAAACAAAGCCCGAGCCCGGCCCGAGUGUCAAGCCCGGCCCAACCCGGCCCGGGUUUUUCGGGCCGGGCUCGGGCCGGGCUGCCCAUGCCCGGGUUUACUUGCGGGUGUGGCCGCGGCCCGUUGGUCUCCACGCCGGUCGUUUAACUAAUUAAUGUUGAACCUUAUACUCCCACUAUUCCUUAAUACAGUGCAUAUAUGUUAUCUUAAAAGCCAAACUUUAUUAACUUUGACCAAGUUUAUAGAGAAUAAAAUACUUUAUAUAAUAAGAUGGACUAUCUCAUAUUAUUAUGUAUGUGAUAUUGUAGCUGUAGAUAAUUUCACCCAUAAACAUGUUUAGAGUUGACUCCUAAAAUAAUUUAUAUACACUAGAAGUAUUAAGCCUAAAACCUUACACACUCAAGACCACUUGUACCAUCGUUCAGGACAAAGGCCACUUCAAAGUUAUUGAUCCUAGGCCCCACGAUCAGCAGGCAUCGGCCUGGCUCGAUGAGAAUUUUGGGGGCCAUUGCUUUGGUUGAAGGAGAUUUACAUCUCCCACAAGGACCGGACGUGAAUACCCCGCAAAAAGAAAAGGACCGGACUUGAAGCACGAGAUGUGAUGUGUCCUCAUCCUAAUACUCUUUCGCUUUAUGUAUUUUCAACUUGUCUAGAUCACUCUCAUCGGUGUUAUUAAGCCAAAUCAUCAUUUCAUCUCAAGACUCAAUCUACAUGUGCCCAUCAUGUACCCCAACAAACGAGCAUAAACCCCCACCGAACCAGCCUAGACAAAGAUUACACCAAAAAGCGACGAGUCGGCCCACUGCAUGAAAUGCAGAAGAAAAGAACUGGCUUCGUGGUGGACCAAUAUGUCAAAGCCCAAUACCGCAAACCGGAAGGCCAUGGCUUCCCUAACAAUGCUCAUCUCUUGGGUUAUUUGAAACGAGAGAAAUUCUAGUGUUUAGAAAGAAAUCCACUAACAUUGUCAUGCUUAUCCACCCCUUCUACAUUCUCAAGCUCAUCCAGGACGAGGCAAGGCUUUUGGAUCACAGCGGGAGGUAGGCAUCUGAGCAUCAUCAUGCCGCACUUUUUUGUGUUGGUAGGUGUUCGUGAUGUAUAGUUAUCUCUAUUGGGCUAUGAUGUGGAACCAAUGUGAUGUGGAGUCAAGAAUACCAACAUGAGCAAAAUCCAGUUAGGUAGUUAUCGCAGAGAAAAAUACACCCUCUGUACUAAAUUUAAGCCGUUAAUAGGCCAUUAAAUUCUAGCUCUGCAUAACCCGGCAAUCCGGCCCAUGGGCACCCGAACCGAAUAAUAUUUAUAUGUAUAGAUUGUACUCCCUCCUUCCGGGAAAAGUUGUCACCGUGGCUUUUUUGCAAAAAAAAAAACCUUUGCUUUAGUCCGACACAACCCGCACUCCUCCGCCGCUCCUCUGCUCUGCUCAGCUCUACUCAGCUCCCUCGCUCGUCCUCCGCCGCAGCUCCCCUGCUCCGCUGCCUGUCCCCUCCUCCGCCGCCUCCCUGCUCCCGGUCCAUUUCCCCGUGCAGCUCCCGCCUCCCAUACCUAAAAAUCAUGUCUUCCCCCAAUCAACGGCAGCGAGGACGAAGCGGCGCUCGAUCUAGAGGGCACGGGGACGAGGGCAGCGACAAGUGUAGUUCUUAAUGAUGCAGAGCGCGGUGGAUGCUCCGGUGGGCUUCUACGGUGAACUCCAUCCUCUCCCUCCCCACCACCAGGACCACCUCCGGUCGCUCCCUUCCGCCCCGCGCCGCAACCACCCUCCCCUUCCCAAGAACCAUCGCCAGACCAUGUUCAUGUCGUCGGAAGGCGGGAGCACCAACGGCUCGUUGCUGGGGCUUCCCCCCUGGACGAGGAGGAGGACAACGAGGCCUGCCCCGUCAAUGGUUGCUGCUGAAUUGCAGUAUUCCUCGGGUCACGACGGUUGCUGUAUGUCCCAAUGUCAAAGGUUUGACAUUUGUUGCUGCUGAAUUGCAGUAUUCCCCGGGUAACGACGGUUGCUGCAUGUCCCAAUGUCAAAGGUUUGACAUUUGUUGCUGCUGAAUUGCAGUAUUCCUCGGGUCACGACGGUUGCUGUAUGUCCCAAUGUCAAAGGUUUGACAUUUGUUGCUGCUGAAUUAUGAAUUCUCAUCCUCUUUUCUUGUUGAUGUUGAAUGCUAAAUUCCGGCGAGCAGCUCCUCAGGUCGCCGGGCUUCUGGUGAAGAUCUUCGUGUGGGUCCUCGAGAUGCCGGUGGUGGGCUGGAUCUUGCUCUACAUCCUCAAGAAGGACAAUCUCAUCAACAAGGUGCAUGCACUUGUGCUGAAUGUUUUUUUAUGCCUGAGCGUCGCAAUUCUGAUUCUCAAUUCUACUCGCAUGUGUACGAUGUUUGUUCACCUGUAGGCAUUGAUCAGUACAGUUUCACCAAAGCAAUCUCUGGGCACAGUUAUUUUACAGCAGACAAUUCACUCUUCUGUGGUGUUUUUACUUUUUGCUGAAAUGCUCUGCUGAUUCAGAAAAACCAUUAGCUGCUGUUGCUGCAGACACCCUAGCCAAAUUCAGUUAACUUAAUCUGAAUAAUUCAGUUAACUUAACAGGGGAGCGUGUGUAUGCUGCGAACGAAUGCAUUUACUGAAUGUUAUUUUGAGGGACAUGUUUUUAUCAACUCUUAGUUAAGAUAAAUUAACCGUGUAAGGUGCUCUUUUGAUUACUAGUGAAGUGCUGCUCUAAAUAUCAUUGCAGCAAGAAAAACUUCAGUUUACUACAGUUUUCAGUUUGGAAUAGUGCACAAAAGACAAAUAGAUUCCUAUGCACUAUUGUGCGCUAUUCGGAGCACAAUUCAGUGUACUGCAGUUUAUUGCAUAAUUGUGCACUUUUUUAACACAUAACUUAGUCUGAAAAAAAAUUAAAAGCAACAAUGUCUAUUCCUGCUACCCUAGUUGAUCUAGUUAUGCAAAUGUUCAGAAAUGUCCAGUUUGUACAUUUUGAAAAAAGGCUGCCAUGGCCACAAAGGAUGCCAUGCAAGAUUGUUCACUUAAACUUCACUGUACAGCAACUUAAAUUUUGUGCAUCUACUGUUUACUCCACUGUACAAACUUGAAUUUGUGUGACAUGAGCUUUUGUUGGUUGCUACUCCACUAGAUAUUGACUGAUUAGACUAAACUGUAGGAUAGUGGUGCUGGUCCAUCUAGGGCACUACUCCCAUUUUUGCUCACAAUUAUUCAGAUAAGGACUACUCCUAGUAACAAAACAGAUCAUUUACUGAAAAUAGCUCUACAUAUUUUAGCAAUAGCUCUACAUUUACUGAAAAUAAACUUGAUGUACUGAGAAGAAACUUGGGCAUUGUUUACUGAAAAUAAACUUUAUCUACUGAAAAUAAACAAUCACUGAUCAGCAGCAGUUCUCAUCACCAUGAUAAGAUAAGCCAGAUGCUCUAUUUUUAAUUAACAGUAAUCCAUGAUCAGCAGCAGUUUCUUUCACUAAUUUUCAGUUAACAACAAUCCAUGAUUUUUUUUAUCAAGUGUGAUUUUGGGUAAAUAAGCCCUCUGUAAUUUAGAUCUUUACUACUGUCAAGUCUGACUUGUCAAUGAGAAACCAGUAACUAGUCAAUGUCAAAACUGUGAAAACUGAAAACAAAUUCAGUAAAUUUGAUCUUUUAUGCUGCAUUGCUGAAAAUUGACAGUAAAUUUUCAUGUACUGAAAUGAAGGCUCAAUGCUGCAUUGCUGACUGGAUAAAUUCAUUGCUGAACAAUUUCUGAACUUUAAUUUGUUCAUUGCGUAUAUGAAGGCUCUCUAGCACAUCAGGAUGAUCCACUCAUCAAAUUACAGACUAGAUGAUCCGCUGCUACUCUAAUUCACCUCAAUUUGAUCUGCACAACAAAUUAACAUCAAUUUGACAUUGAUUUCAGGGCGCUGGCUACCUUUCAGUAGCAGCAGAGGCGGCGAGGAGGAGCUGGGUCGCCUGGACGAAGAAGAAGAAAUCGGCAAGGAGGAAAGGGUGGGCGGCGGUGGUCGCCUCUGUAGCAGGUGGGCGGCGGCGUUGGGCCCUACAGUGUUUGCGCUGGUCACCUCGGUGCACGGCAGUGGAGCAGCGGCUGCCCGAGGUCUUGCCCAACUCCCACAGCAGAGUGCCCGGCCUUGGCACGCCGGGGUUGCGACCGGAGAUGCCGGGGUUGCGACCGGAGAUGCGAGCAGAACGACGAGUAGAGCCGCCCAUGAGCCGUGGAAUCACCGCCCGUCGAGGUGUCGCCGCGGAGGAGCAGGUGGGCGGCGGCAAAGCUCGCCUCCGCAGCGCAACUAGGCAAGGGCGGCGCAAGAUGGCAGCUGCGGGGCAGGUGGGCGGCGGCGCAAGUGGGACUUCAUCACGCGGUGCUCGCAGGCGAUGGGGGGAGACGAAGGCUAGAGCAUGCGGUGCCGGCGGGCGUCAGGGGAGGAAGAAGGGCUGAUUAGAACUAGAUUUAAAAUGAAAGGUUUUUUUUGUAAAGUUACAAUUGAACUACGCUGGUGACAACUUUUCCCGGACGGAGGGAGUAUAUUGGUAGUACAGUUGCAUCGAGGGGUAACGCAUAAAGCCAAGCCACUGACGUUAGCUAUCAAAAAUUUCAUUCCAAGCCAUGACAACUAAUAUUCUCGCACUCGGUUGCAUCCAAAUGGACAAGCAUGCUACCAGAUUGACCAUAUGGAUUACAGCACCGCCAACCACUUGUAUAUAUGACUUGAACAGGCAUCAGCCCAGAGAAGGGUGGACAUAUAAAAAAGCUUCAUUGCUGCUCCAAGGCAUACUUAUUACAACUAAUCAGAAAGCAUCAUCAGAACUAAUCAGACUUGAAGUACUUCAUGGUGGUAGUUCAUACUCUUGUAGCUUGUGAUUAUCUAAUAUCAAGAUUUCUAGGCGGGCAAUUUUAUUCAUAUACGUUUCAUGAAAAUUAUGUCGUUAAAGGAGGUAGUAGUUCAAGGUAGCCCACUGAAAGCUAAGGAAUUAACCACAUAGGAGAUCAAGAUGUAGAAUACACUGAAGUUCAAAUGAACAUAUUACUGGAAAUAUCAACGGUGCAUAGAAAGGGGGCAACACACAAGAGGCAAACAUAGACAUAUAUAGGGGAGGAGUGCUGCAGAUUAGGCUGCACCCCUGUGGGCCCUGGGAGUAAGCAUGUAGGCACGCAAUAUCCAACGCAUUCAUAUGGGCAAACCCCACUCUAUAUCCGAUACACUUGGCGAUCCGCGUUGCAGAUGCUCUUACACCCCUGUGUGACAUUUCAGCAUUCAAAUGGUUGCUCACUGAAAGCAAGCCAUCCCAAUUUGCACGCUUCCACCUAGUCACACAAAACCCUAACCCUAACACAUACCAUAAAUACAAGUGAUGGUAUCUGAUCUCAAUACACCUCUGAAUGAGCCUUACUCAUCAUCGCCAUCAACAGCACUUUGGCGCAAAUCCCACAAAGAGAACAACAGAGAAGCCAAUAGUCAAAGAGCGCAAGAUGGCAAGGAACCACAGGAGAAUCAGUAAAAGCAGAAAGAAUCACUAUAUCAGGAGCAAAUCAUGAACUGGUGGACACAAAAACUGGGACAUGUAUAAGUAAAUGGCUCAGAUACACUCCCAUCUCAACACUAUAACUGAAUUUCUGGUAGAAUGACCAUGAACAUUUAUAUUUGUGAACGGAGGGAAUAACAGUUAAGAAGGGAGCCUUGGAGCAGCGGUAAAGCUGUAGCCUUGUAACCUUGAGGUCAUGGGUUCGAGUCCUGGAAACAGCCUCUUGCAGAAAUGUAGGGAAAGGCUGCGUACUAUAGAUCCAAAGCGAUUGGACCCUUCCCCGGACCCUGUGCAAGCAGGAGCUACGUGCACCGGACUGCCCUUUAGGGAGUAAUAGUUAGCCGCUAAACUGGUUACUUGCUGUGACACAAGCCAUCCUAGUUUAGCACCAAGUAAAUCGAUUCAGGUGUUAAGAUAGAAGCUCUCACAGGGAGGUUAUAUCAUCACAGCCAUUCAUGAACAUGAUACGAAGAAAACAGUAAUCUUGACAGCUGAACUUGCCCUAUACGACCCUUAAGUUGAAACCAGUAAAGAAGUAACGCGAAACCAAAAGUACAAACUGAUAAGUAGAUAAAGAGUACAAUAGAAGGAUGAAAUUAUCAAGUCAAAUAGCAAUUGAAACAAGCAAACUGACCCAGCACCAAAUAAGAUAGUUUCAAAAGCCAUCCAAGGGACAGCAGAAUUAUCAUAGCCAUUCAAGAAGAAGGAAGAAACGGAAAAAGGAAAAAAAACAGAAGAAAUAAUUAAGUGUGGCUGGAGUACUGUUCCUAAAACAACAGAACUCGUUGACUACUGCAAAACCAACAAAAUGUGUAGGAAAAAAGGAAAAACAGUCCCUUGCAUCCACCAGACCAUGAUUUUACCGAAAGAACUAAUAUCAUAACCAAACUCUCAACAUAUCUUUAACAUAUACAUGGAUGCGAGCAAGCAAGAAAUACAAAUUCUCAGAAAGGAAAAGAUCAGUUCAAAUUUUGGGAAGGAAACACUUAUUUUUACUCAGAACUUUAUUGGGCGGGAGUCUCGGAAUUGGCCAAUUUAUAGAAGGUAGUCAUGGUAUUUUUGCAACAAGAGAUUAUAAGAGGUAGAUACAGGCUUAUGACAACAUUGUGUUUUUCCACGUAUUGCCUUCUAUAAGCAAUUAAAAUGGUCAUCAGCAGAAAGCAAACCGUGCAAAUUGUAUUCCUUGAGACCAGUUAGCAGUUGCUGUGCUGGACCAAAACAGUAGAAAAGAAGUUUGACAACUUGCCAACUUGAAUGUACAUCACUGCCAAAAGAACCAGUAAAAAUUUAAUAGGGGUAGUAAAUAAGGACAUGGAAUAUGACCAAAGAACUAGCCAUGGGCAAUUGGGCAGGGGUGCGAGGAAGCUAGCUAUCCAUGUGCCAGAACCAUGAGUUGGUUGCGAGAUCCUAUGGGUUUGCUGUUUUCCAUGUGCCAGCUCUAGCCUACCCCAACUUGUUUGGAACUAAAGGCUUUGCUGUUGUUGUUGGUAGUAAAGGAGGACAUGCACAGAUCAUCUUCCGCAUAUUUAACCACUCAACAGAAUGACCAUCCAAGACAGAGCCAUCAAUAUUCGGUCAGAAUGAAAAGGUCAUAAAAGAGGGGAGAGCGUUUUUUUAAUACCCACGGCUCCUCGAAUAAUCGAAGACAGGUUUAUUGUCAGCCAAGUUUGAUCAUCAUCGCCCCUUAUAAAUAGAUAGAGAGAUCCCUUUGCGCAUGCAACAGGUAAGGGUGAAAAGUCGGUUGGACCAGAUACAGAAUAUCUGCAGCUAAGCACAGUAUCAGCAGCUGGAGGGCGAUUAGAACAUGAGGAAUAGUUCACAAAAUCCUGGGGAAUUUUUGGGGAGUACUAUUUGAAUGAGUGACUCAAACACCAUGAAUCACCAAAGUUGGGAAAUGCUUCAGGUGGUACAAAGUACUGGGAAAUUUUUGGGGAGUACUAUUUGAAUGAAUGAAGUGGUACCAUAAACAAUAAAAUAUCUGUCUCCCUCUCCCUCUCUCUCUCCAGCAACAAAUUGCCGCAACUAGUAACUUGCUGCAGCGCAAGGCCUCCUAGUUUAACGACCAGCUGUCUAACUGGGCAAAUUUGAAUGGAACCAACCUAGGAGACGUGAAAGCAUCUCUAUCACAAGAUAGUUGAAAGAUCUCCAACGCCAAGGGGCAGAAAUCACCAUAGCCAUUCAGAAAAUAAUAAAACUCAUCAACACACAACGGAAACAAAUAUGCUGUGUUCAGAAGUUAACUUGGAACACUGCACUGAUGUCCGUAUUACUGGCAACGAAAGAAGCAAUUGACAUUUGUACACUUCAGAUAAAAGGAGUAACUACAAGCCAAAUAAAAAUAGGAUGACAUAAACUUUCCGUUUUGAAACAGCAGAAAAGCAUAAGCUUGCAAAAAGGGAUGCACAUAAUACAAACAGAAAACAGGAAAUGCAGCUCGCCCGUUUAUCCCAUGAAAAAUGGGUUCUAAUGCUAAAUAGUCAGACAUGUAACACUGGAUAGUGGCAAUACUAUUCCACCAUGAAACUGAACAGCGGUCAGUCCAACCUCUGGCAAAAUGAAAACACAGCCAAAUCAAGAAUACUGAAUAAAAUUUAAAAUAUAUAAUGAGAAGAGGGCCAACCGCCAACAUAUAAAUCCCAAAUGACUCAAGCAAAAGCUCCAGGAGGACAUCCAGUUAUGAUAAGACAAAAUCAAGGUUUUUGAGUCGAUGAGUCGGCGAGUCGCUCAGGGGGGGCGACUCUAGACUAGUCGUGACUCAUGGUCGACGAGUCGACAUGCGAUGAGUCGACGUGAGUUAAGUAGUAGGGAGCAGACCAGCGGCAACUAAGGGAGGAGCCGCAGCAGCAAGAGAUGGGAGGGGCAGACCUGCAGUAGCAGCAACCAAGGGAUGAGCAGCAGCAACCAGGGGAGAAGGGGACGAGCAGCCAGCCAGCGGCAGCGGCUGCUGCAGAAGAGAGCUGGGUCGGGGGAGGGGAGUGGAACUGUUCGAUCUAGGUUUCCAGACGCUCCAAUCUUCCUUCAAUAUUGGCCCAGAAGCAAUAUUAGCCCAAUAAGGCCCAAUGAAACCCUAGCCUGCCUAGCUCAAUCUGAACCAUCUAUAUUCUCUAAUCUUCACCGUCCAUCCACUCUCUUCUUUCUCUCUCUCUCACCUGCUCCCCUUCCAGCCUCCAGGAACGAAUCGACAGCCGCAAUGGCCUUGCUGCAGCUCCUCUUCCAUGGCUUCUCUGCCUUCGCCCCUUCCUCUCCGCCUCCCCCAUCCUUCUCUGCUCCGUUUUCUACGCCCAACUCCUCUUCCAUCACAGGUUGAUCGAGUCGUUCGACUCAAAAACCGCGACUAGUCGAGACUAGUCGGGACUAGUCGAUCAAGUCGCUCGACUCAUCCAAUGAUUCGAGUCGACAGGUUGAGUCAACCUUCAUGUAACGACUCGUCGACUAGUCGACGACUAGUCGCGACUAGUCGUUCGACUCGAAAUCCAUGGACAAAAUAUAAGAGCCUUUCUAACAAAUACACUUUUGCAGUUGAUAAAUUUAUUUGACACUCAUUUCGAAUCCGUGCAAGGGAUCUGUGCCACGUUGAUGCAUCAGAAAUGUGGCAGUUAAUAUUGACAGCAGCAGCUAAAGAAUAGACUAACUACCAAUGAACUAAAUAGCAUAGAGAAUCAUAACAAAAGGUCUGCUCUGACCAAAACAAAUAUGAAGGUAAUAUGAGCUUCAGAUUAUAAAAAACAGAGACAUAGCAGAUCAAAGGGCAAUCGAUAACCAGAUGAAUAGAACUGUCAAUAGCUACAAGCAUUGGAGGAAAAAAGGGCAAUCGUUUGACUCAUAUAUAGUACGUACAACUAGAAAGGCAAAAACGAUGCCAACUAGAAACCAACCCAAGUAAAGCUAGGGUUGUUGGGUUCGUCACCAAGAGAAGAUAUCAAUCCAGAUCCGGAUCUCACAUCAACACAAUAGAGAAAUAGAAAAUUAAAAACAAUGUAUAGUGGAGAAAAAAAAACUGAGUAUUUGUAGCGUAGCAAGAGGGCUCAGUUUUGCCUUUUAUCUUGAAGCCCAACACUCACGUCUCUUGCUGCAUAACCUACCCAUCGCGAUGUAAUUGAACUGCCCUGGUUAUCACUCAUCAGAAUGACCAUCCGAGGCGCAGAACAUCCAACAUUAGCCAUGAAUUGAAUAGGCUGCAAGAGAAGUAAGGGUGAGAGCUCUUAAGGGCAUCUCCAACGCCGGCACCCAUUUGGGGCCUAUUUAGUACCCACAUGCCACGGCUGUCUUGAUUGCUCAACACAUAAUUAUUUCAGCCGCAGGCAUCAUCAUCGCCCUUUUUUUUUAAAAAAAAAAAGGUCAAACCCCCCAAGCAACAUGACCAUAACAUCCAUCAUCCAUCCAUCCAUUCAUCCAUCAGACUAGCCAUAGUGGUGAGUAACUUAGACAAUCUCAGGAGCUGCUCAUACCUGGCCUUGACCGACCAAACCUCCUGGUGUGGACGACACAUCAGACAACGCCUUACGGUUCCCAGCCACGCCACAACCAAAUCCAAGGCAAUGGACUGGCGGCGGCUGGCAGCACCGUAGAGACCGGGAACUGACAUGGCAGCUACCCGGACGAUGGGUCAGCGAGUCGGCAAUGAAAGCUUGACUGAUUUGUUUAAGGGAGAGANNN
rnacentral:lncRNA from 1 species